AAUCCGGGAGGACCAUCUCCCAAGGCUAAAUACUCCCUAGUGACCGAUAGUGAACCAGUACCGUGAGGGAAAGGUGAAAAGCACCCCGGAAGGGGAGUGAAACAGUUCCUGAAACCGUGUGCCUACAAGUAGUUAGAGCCCGUUAAUGGGUGAUAGCGUGCCUUUUGUAGAAUGAACCGGCGAGUUACGAUUUGUUGCAAGGUUAAGCGGAAAAAGCGGAGCCGUAGCGAAAGCGAGUCUGAAUAGGGCGCAUAAGUAACAGGUCGUAGACCCGAAACCAGGUGAUCUACCCAUGUCCAGGAUGAAGGUAAGGUAAUACUUACUGGAGGUCCGAACCCACGCACGUUGAAAAGUGCGGGGAUGAGGUGUGGGUAGCGGAGAAAUUCCAAUCGAACUUGGAGAUAGCUGGUUCUCUCCGAAAUAGCUUUAGGGCUAGCCUCGAGGUAAAGAGUCAUGGAGGUAG
rnacentral:rRNA from 1 species